rnacentral:lncRNA from 1 species
CCAACUUGAGAUGGAUCCUCCUCCUCCAAUUCUAUAACGGGCUGAUUUCAAGCAUCAGCUGAUAGUGUGUGUGUGUGUGUGUGUGUGUCAUUUACUGAAGGUCUUCAUCACAUCCUUCUCCCUAGUCAUCAAGUCUUUGCAUAAGAUCCUAAUAUUCCUAAGUUUCUUGAUAUAAGGUUUCUCAAGUAUUCCAAGUGUGAUGACAUUGAAGGAAUUAUCCGGAGGUAGGAUGCAUAAUUUGAGGGUUAAGGUCUCGUGGAGACAUUUUUGGUGAGAUUUCCUGUCCACUAACUGCAAGACCUUGUGGCCAAAGUAGGCUUAGGUGGUUUGGUAACCAAUGUAGUAGUUUCAGAUUCUGAGUGCAAGCGUUCGAAAGGAAGCUUUGUCCCGAUCACAUUAUCACCAGUACUGCUGCACUUUGGUCUGUUAUCAAGGGUUACUUGUUUGUUUCUAUGUAAAUAUUCAUAUAGAGAAAUUGGUAACUCAACCUAAUCCAGAAUAGCAAAACAGAAAGAAGAACUUACAAGUAAAUAUAUUUUUCUAAAAUCUUCAUAACAUGCUUAAGUUUCUCAUAAUGCAAUUUCCAUAACAUGCAUGUUACCAUUUGCCAAUCAUAACUCAGAUAGGGUUAAUAACUUACAUGAAGGUGAACCUUUUCUUUUGACUGAGAUCCAACAGAACUUCAGACUACAGUGGGUACACACACUUCUUCCUGCGAAGACUGACCUUCGCAGUCUUACUGACCUUCUCCAUUGGCACUGCUGCUGGAUCCCCUCCUACUGACAGUGGUGUUCUUCAAUAUCUGCAAGAAAACAAACCAUAUUUAGAGCUUGUUCAGGAAAGAAAGCUGACACCCAGGCAAAAUCAACCUACAACUACGUUGUCAGCCAUAAGACAGAAAGCAUCAAGAAGUGUGACAAUAUAUACAUAUAAAUUAGAGAGAGAGAGAGAGAGAGAGCAGUCGGAUUCAAUCAAGUUAGAGCACAUGAUGCUACUGGUAACAAAUAAAUUACUCCAGAACGGAUGCUUUGGGCAGAAUGUGCAUGCCAAACACAGCUAACAAAGACCAUAAUGCAACAAAAGCAGUGCAAGUUUCCAUCAAAGAAACAGACACUACUGUGCAAGUCACAUGAUAUGAUACAGAACUAGAUGACAAGGAAGCAUCCCACCAAAGUUUGAGGCAUUUCUUUAAUGAAAGAUCUAAUUUCCUUGACUAGAAGAAAGAAAACAGCUCGAUUACUUAGAGAUCCAACUCUCCACCACCCACCCAGAGUAGUACCCCUUCAAAGCCUCAGCAAGACGAGGAUGGCAGCGAUCGCUGCAGAGUUUUUCUGAGAAGCAAAUGACUCCAGUAAUAUGCGAUGCCACCAUGUUGGAAAACGGAUAAAGAAGAAAAUGAUGUCACGGCUUACUGUGGUCGACAAAGGGACACGUCUGGGGGCAGGACUAAGACCAGAACCUAGAACGGCAGCUGCAGUUAAUUACCCAAAAUACCCCUCAUUAGAUGGUACUCUCGUAUCAGCCUAUCCUGAGACUCUGAUAUUUCUUUUUAAAGUGGAUAAUUUAUACAGAUGUAAUAGGAUAUAUUCGAUAGAGUUAGAAAAUGAUCUCUCUCUCUCUCUNN